UACGUAGGGUCCGAGCGUUGUCCGGAAUCAUUGGGCGUAAAGCGAGCGUAGGCGGCCCGAUAAGUCUGCUGUAAAAGUCAACGGCUCAACCGUUGAAAGCCGGUGGAUACUGUCGGGCUAGAGUUCGGAAGAGGCAAGUGGAAUUCCUGGUGUAGCGGUGGAAUGCGCAGAUAUCAGGAGGAACACCUAUAGCGAAGGCAGCUUGCUGGGACGAUACUGACGCUAAGGCUCGAAAGCGUGGGGAGCGAACAGG
rnacentral:rRNA from 1 species